AACGAACGCUGGCGGCAGGCUUAACACAUGCAAGUCGAGCGCCCCGCAAGGGGAGCGGCAGACGGGUGAGUAACGCGUGGGAAUCUACCCAUCUCUACGGAAUAACGCAUGGAAACGUGUGCUAAUACCGUAUACGUCCUUCGGGAGAAAGAUUUAUCGGAGAUGGAUGAGCCCGCGUUGGAUUAGCUAGUCGGUGGGGUAAAGGCCUACCAAGGCGGCGAUCCAUAGCUGGUCUGAGAGGAUGAUCAGCCACACUGGGACUGAGACACGGCCCAGACUCCUACGGGAGGCAGCAGUGGGGAAUAUUGGACAAUGGGCGCAAGCCUGAUCCAGCCAUGCCGCGUGAGUGAUGAAGGCCCUAGGGUUGUAAAGCUCUUUCACCGGUGAAGAUAAUGACGGUAACCGGAGAAGAAGCCCCGGCUAACUUCGUGCCAGCCGCCGCAGUAAGAC
rnacentral:rRNA from 1 species